rnacentral:tRNA from 1 species
UCCAGGGUAGCCUAGUGGACAUGGCAUCUGCCCGGUAAGCGGAACAUUGUGGUUUCGAUUCCCAUCCCUGGAC